rnacentral:tRNA from 1 species
GGGCCCGUAGCUCAGCCCGGUUAGAGCGGCGGAGGACCCAGCCGCCCGGUCCGCCGAGGCUUUUAACCCGUAGGUCGUGGGUUCGAAUCCCACCGGGCCCGCCA